CUCACUCUAAUCUUUUGCAUUGGUUCAGCAGUGUAGUUACAAAAAACAGAUCUUUAAAUUAUAUCGUGUAGAGAUUUCUCUUGAUACCAACAUUAUCCCCUCCACUUUUCGGGAAACUGUCGUCUAACCCAAAUUAUAGAUUACUUCAAUUAAGUCAUCAUCGGAUUAUUCAACUAUUUUACAGUAAAACGUAUGGAGGAUCUAAUCGUUUUACCUUGGAUAAGAAAAUAAAUACUUACAGAGAGACAUUCGACAAGAUACAGCAGACAUUUCAGCAAGCUCAGGUGAAAACAUCGCUCUCCCAACAGAAAGCAUAACAUUACAGUCGCGAUAGUUUUGUGAAAUUAUAUUCAAUUGUGUAAUUAACAUUUAAAUGUCAAUACACUUGUUGAAGUGUAAUUAACGUUUAACGUUAACAACAUCGCUGUAUGAGCAACGUAAAUUUUCUGUUUUAUUUAUUUAUACUAUGCAACUCAUUUAUUGAUGAGUCACCCAACUGUAUGUGUCACAAUAACUCAAACACAAUCUACAUUGAAAAUUAUGUGAAUCAUAGAAUAAGUUUUCUUCUCAAUAAAUUUGUAUCAAUCUCUCUUUGUAUCAAUAAAUGCAUUAGCAUUCGUUUAGCAAUCA